CAGAUAAUAACGCAAUUGACGCGGUACAAGAAUCAGGGUAUUAUGACAACCGCACCUAUGAUCAAUUUGUUGACUCAUGCUUGCAAUUAUCCCUUGAAAAAAGUAAAAAUUUAAGAGAUAAUGCUAUAAAUAUCGUUCCAGAUGAUCAAGACCACAACAUGAAAGAAACAGAGAACGUCGAAGACGAACAUGAAUUAUGUUAUUCAGGGGAAGGUUUAAAUGAAGGCGUGUUAAAUAUGAGCGUCACCGAUGCUAAUGAUAUAAUUAAUUUCGCGUGGAUAUGGCAGAAACUUCAUGAUUCAUACAAUAACCACGAUACUCUUUAUGCCUGCAAUUUUAGGAAUUUAAAACUGAUUGGCACUUUCAGAAAAGGAUUGACAAGAUAUUUUACUUUUAAGUGCGAUAUGUGUGCUUACACAGUAACAAUAUCUGGAGUGUGCGAUAAUCCGGAUGAGAUAGAACCUGCGGUUGGUGCAGCAUUGGGAUGUCAGCAUGUUGGUACAGGACUUUCUCAAUUCAAUGAAUUGAUUGGCAUGUUAGGUAUUCAAAGUUUGAAUUACUACAUCUGGCAAAAAGCACACUCCAAAGCUGCGAUUUAUGUCAAAGAAGCAUCUAAGAAUGAAAUGGCUAAAGCUGCAGCUGAAGAGAGGAGUCUCGCAAUUGAACGUGGUGACGUUGUUUAUGAUAUACCGUGCACAAUGGUUGAAGGUGAUGGAUCAUACCUAAAACGCACGUACAUGUAUGGUAAAUAUGAUUCAUCAGCGUGUUGUGUCGUAAUAAUUGGCAGAUAUACUAAAAAAGUACUGCAGAUUAUUGUAAAAUAAAAAACAUGCGCGAUUUGUGAUUAUGCUUCAAGCAAAAAUAUAACUCCUAAAGAACACACUUGCUAUCGGAAUCAUGGGAAGAAUCAAAGCUCGACUAGCAUGGAAAGCGCUGCAAUGGCAGAGGCAUUCGCAAGUAGUGUUAAAGAGCAUAAUUUAAUCUAUAAUGUAUUGAUUUCUGAUGGAGAUAGCAGUAACUAUAAAUCAAUUUUAGACAGUAAUCCUUACGGAGAGUAUGGUGUUGAAGUUAGAAAUAUACUUUGUACGAACCAUAUUUUAAGAAAUGUUUCAACAAGCAUCAAAGUUCUUUCGAAAACUAAAGGUCGACUAGGGCAAUUAAGAAAGAAAAUUGAAGAUAGUGCACCUCGUUUCAUUGAAGCAAUUGGACAAUGCGUUCAGACUAUAACUGAAGAAGAUAUUUCUUGGGAGUUCAAAUGUAAAGCUCUACGAGAUAAUAUCAAUAAGUUACCCUGUCACAUUUUUGGCGAUCACAGUUAAUGUGAAAAUAAUAAGUAUGGGUGUAGUGGUCAGGCAGUUGGCAACGAAGAAAAUGUUGUUACAGCUUUACGGGAAGCUAAUCUCAUGGAUGACGUUGAGCAGUGCGUUUUUCGAGCUGCUAAUAAUGCAUCAAGCUUACUUCACAACGUUACAACGAACAGAUCAGAAAGUUUUAAUGCGCUUAUAGCAAAAGCGAUUGGUGCAAAACGUCUCCAUCUGUGUAAAAAAGAUUCAUAUGCAACCCGUUGCCAUGUUGCCGCAAUAUCACAAAACACUGGAUCAACAAUUAGUCCAAUUUGCGAAGCAGCAGAGAAGCAAGUCCCAAGUUGCGCAGAAUUUCUUCAGCAAAAACGGCAAAGAUUGAGUGCAUUACGACAAUUAAGAAUGGCUAAUAGAGAUACGGUUGAAGAGAAGAUCAAUAAAGCUUAUCGUAAAGCUGAUAAAGUUUAUGGUCUGAAUGCCCAUCAGCCUGAUAUAAAUAAAGAAGAAUUUUCAGAUCGUGUCAAGCAACAUUAUGCUAUUCUGAACGCAUGGCGUCUCGAGAGAGACGCUAUUGAAAGCCGAACGAGGAAUCAAAGCGAAUGCAACGAAUGGAGGUCUAUGCGAAAAUGGUUGGUAACUGCAUCUAGAAUGGGAAAAAUAUGUAAAAAACGUCCUGAAACCUCAUGUGCAUCGUUCAUUUCAGAUAUAUCGUAUCCUCAAACGUUAAAAGAUCUGGCAUUAGACUAUGGUAUCGCUAUGGAGUUUGUUGCUAAAAAAGUUUUAACAGAUCUCGGGUACGAUGUGCAGCCAUGUGGACUAUUUUUGGACCCAGAAGUCCUUGGAAUAGCAGCAUCCCCUGAUGGUUUAAUAGGUGUAGAUGGAAUACUUGAAAUAAAAUGUCCAUUUACGGCAAUGCAUAUGGAUCCAGAAAUUGCUAUCAAAGACAAGAAGUUACAUAUCGGCAAAGCUUUUCGUAUAGAAAAUAACGAAGUGAUUCUUAAAGAAAGUCACGAAUAUUAUUACCAAAUACAAGGUCAACUACGUGUAACCAAUAGAAAAUAUUGCUUAUUCGUUAUAUUUACUUUUGUUGGUAUAAAAAUGAUGGUGAUUGAAAGAAAUGAUGAAUUUAUUGAAGAAAUGAUAGUUCAAAUUGCCCAGUUCUAUCGGGAUUGUUUAUUACCUGAAAUAAUAGAUAGUAGAAGAAAAAGACGUAUGCCUUUGCGAGAACCAGAGUAUAUACUGCAAGUUCAAGAAGAAGGAAAGCAACGACAGCAGCUACGAAAUGAAGCUAAGAAAAAUAAAGAAAACGAAAGUAAAGAAACAAAAGCGACGAAAAUGAGUACCACACAAAAAAAGAAAAAGGCUUCAAAUGCAAAUGCUAAUAAAAAAGGAUUGAAGAGGAAAGCACUGGAGAAUGAUGAAGAAAUUUCACAAGCUAAAAAGUUAGUUCAAGAAGUCGAAACUAUUGAAAAUAGUGGUAAUGCCGCUUGUGAUAUUGACAUUAAUAAUCGAGCUUGUAAUAGCAAUGAAAUAAAAAAAGCUACUACGAAUGUAAAUAAAAAUGAAAAUAGUACUAACGUUUCGUUUAAACGAAAAGUCCCACAGAAAAAAUUGUCAGCUGUUGAAAAUAAUAUUCGAGAAGUGGAAAAAACUUUAGAAGAAUUAGGAUUAAAUGAUAAAAAAGAUAGCGAAAAUAAAUCAGAUGUAGACUUCGAUGUGCCCUUGACUGCAGACAUGAUCCAUAAACAAUGCCAGGCGAUUUUCGAAAGAAAUGGUGUUCAUGAUAAUUAUUUAUCAGACACAGAUGACAAUGGAACUUAGAUUAGAAACUAAGUAGUCUGAAAAUUACAUAAACAGAAAAAAUCAUCACAGUUCAGAGUCAACAGAUGUCUGCUCCACUCUGUGAUAUUAUUGACGAUAUAGAAGAUUUGAUAUUAUCACAAGAUAUUACACCUAAAGAAAGAUACAG